GACGGUCCUCUGUCCUCGAGGGAACUGAACAGUGACAAGCAGGACCAAUGGAAAGAAGAUCGAAAAGGUGAGUCGUCUAUAGGUGAGGAAAGGUGAGUCGUCUAUAGGUGAGGAAAGGUGAGUCGUCUAUAGGUGAGGAAAGGUGAGUCGUCUAUAGGUGAGGAAAGGUGAGUCGUCUAUAGGUGAGGAAAGGUGAGUCGUCUAUAGGUGAGGAAAGGUGAGUCGUCUAUAGGUGAGGAAAGGUGAGUCGUCUAUAGGUGAGGAAAGGUGAGUCGUCUAUAGGUGAGGAAAGGUGAGUCGUCUAUAGGUGAGGAAAGGUGAGUCGUCUAUAGGUGAGGAAAGGUGAGUCGUCUAUAGGUGAGGAAAGGUGAGUCGUCUAUAGGUGAGGAAAGGUGAGUCGUCUAUAGGUGAGGAAAGGUGAGUAGUCUAUAGGUGAGGAAAGGUGAGUCGUCUAUAGGUGAGGAAAGGUGAGUAGUCUAUAGGUGAGGAAAGGUGAGUAGUCUAUAGGAUAGGAAAGGUGAG